CUCAUGCUCUUCCUUGUUUGCUUAUUUCUUGCAACUUUUCUCAUUUUGACCUUUCUCAAAGGCCUCUCGCUCUUCCUGUGCCUUGACCUGUCAAGUUUUUCAACUGCUUUUUUGCUCCUUUUUCCUCUGAGCAAAGGUUUAUAUUCUGGAAAACUUCUGGCUGGUGUUGUGGAUUCUGCUCCCAAACUCGUCUCUCUUGGAAAAAGUAGUGGAUUAUCUGAACCAUGAGGAAUGUGUCGCGGAGGGCAAAGGGCAAAUGGACUACAGCAACUUGGAUUUGUACUUGAACUUGGAUUACCACAAACCUGAGGAAAAACUGUGUUCUCGCUUAUAAGGGAUUAAUGCAGCUCUUUUGGUGGACCUGGAUGUCUUUUCUGUCAGUUUUUCAACAUGAAACGGCAAAAUUGGUUGCUUAAAUUCCAUCAUUCUCUUUUCUUCUCUACUUUGAAAUUAUUCAUGGAGUUAAAUAUAUUGACAGGUUUUGACGAGGCUGUUUCCGUCGUAAGUUACUUUUUAAAAUAAACUCAUGACUUUGAAUUAAGGUAUGCCACCGUGCCACGACAUUUUGAAUAAACAUGAUUGGAAUUUACAGCUACAUCUACAACUUGUGCCAUGAAGACAAACUUUAAAAUGUCAUUUUCUGAGUGGAAAAACAGGAUUUAAAAAAUAUAUAAAUAUAGCAGAACUUCUGGUGCUGCUUGAUGACACUCAAAUAAAUCACCAGCUAUCAACAAUGGGCGUUGGCAUGGGAACCUGCCCCUGGCUGCUACCUGAAUGAGGGCGCAGGGCCUCUGCGAACAGCGCAGUCAAAGGAGUGACCCAGCAGGCUGCACAUUUUUACCUACAGCCGUAUCCAUGACAACAGCCUCAUGCCCACAACCAUUGAACACUUGAUUGACAGAUGUCCAAAUGUCAACCACUCCCUCUCAGGAGAUUUGGGACAUCCAGCUCCAGUCCGCCACGCUUUGUCUUUAAUUUGAGAGAUUUGGCAAGUUACCACAAACAAGGCUGGUGAAGUUGAUGUAUUUGAUGGCAGACUUGGAGAGCAAAGGAGGACCUCUUUGGACUUAAAAGCCCCCACACGCUUUUAGAUUUGACCCCACAAUUUUUCUUUCCUUUUGGUCUCAUGUCCUCAUCUCUCUCUUUUUUUGUGCAUCUUAAAUAUACGAGGCAGCAGACAGCUCUGGACAGAGAUAUGAGGAGCCUUCAAAGGCGUGUUGUGACUGCUGUUUCAUCUCAGUACAAAGGGUUAUGCCGAAAUGUGUUCCGCCUUUCAGUAUAUUUUGCAUUUAUGCUAAUGAUGCAUAAAUCGACAGUGCGCUUUUCUCUGCACUACCAUAUGAAUCUGUAAACAAACCGAGGAAGUUAAGCCGUCAAAUUUAAUUUCACUUUUACCAUGAGCUGCGUCCGAGAAUCGUCUUGACGUGUUGAUCUUAAAUUCCAAAAAUAUUUUUUUAUUUUAUUUUGUCUGUUAAAAUAAAUUUUUUCAUCAACAUUGAGCCAUUCAAGUUCAUCCUAAACCAAUCAAACGAGUCACUAAUGAAUAAUGUUACCAUUUGAAUAACCUAGACAUAUACAUUCACCUGCCACUUUAUUAGGUACACUGUCCAA